rnacentral:rRNA from 1 species
ACGCAAUAGAUACCCUGGUAGUCCACGCCCUAAACGAUGUCUACUAGUUGUCGGGUCUUAAUUGACUUGGUAAACGCAGCUAAACGCGUGAAGUAGACCGCCUGGGGAGUACGGUCGCAAGAUUAAAACUCAAAGGAAUUGACGGGGACCCGCACAAGCGGUGGAUGAUGUGGAUUAAAUUCGAUGCAACGCGAAAAACCUUACCUACCCUUGACAUGGAAGGAAUCCCUGAGAGAUCGGGGAGUGCUCGAAAGAGAACCUUUACACAGGUGCUGCAUGGCUGUCGUCAGCUCGUGUCGUGAGAUGUUGGGUUAAGUCCCGCAACGAGCGCAACCCUUGUCAUUAGUUGCUACGAAAGGGCACUCUAAUGAGACUGCCGGUGACAAACCGGAGGAAGGUGGGGAUGACGUCAAGUCCUCAUGGCCCUUAUGGGUAGGGCUUCACACGUCAUACAAUGGUACAUACAGAGGGCCGCCAACCCGCGAGGGGGAGCUAAUCCCAGAAAGUGUAUCGUAGUCCGGAUUGUAGUCUGCAACUCGACUGC